rnacentral:rRNA from 1 species
CACGUAGGGAGCGAGCGUUGUCCGGAUUUAUUGGGCGUAAAGAGCUCGUAAGCGGCUCAGUAAGUCGGGUGUGAAAACUCCAGGCUCAACCUGGAGACGCCACCUGAUACUGCUGUGGCUAGAGUCCGGUAGGGGAGCAUGGAAUUCCUGGUGUAGCGGUGAAAUGCGCAGAUAUCAGGAGGAACACCAGUGGCGAAGGCGGUGCUCUGGGCCGGAACUGACGCUGAGGAGCGAAAGCGUGGGGAGCAAACAGG